AUGGCAGAGUCGCUGCUACUCCCUCUUGUGCGCGGCGUGGCCGGCAAGGCCGCAGAUGCACUUGUCGAGGCCAUGACCCGCAUGUGUGGCCUUAACGAUGACCGCCGAACGCUAGAGCGCCAUCUCCUAGCCGUCGUGUGCAAGUUGAACAAUGCGGAGGAGAGGAGCGAGACAAAUAUCUAUGUCAAGAGCUGGAUGAAGGAGCUCAAGUCUGUCGCCUACGAGGCUGAUGACGUGCUCGACGACUUCCAGUACGAGGCUCUGCGUCGCCAAUCAAAGAUCAGCAAGUCCACUACCCGCAAGGUGCUCAGCUACGUCACCCCCCACAGCCCACUGCUCUUCCGUUUUGAAAUGAGCAAGAAACUGAAGAACAUCCUCGAGAAGAUCAAUACGUUGGUUGAGGAGAUGAACAAAUUUGGCCUGGAGAAUUCUGAACAUAGGGAUGAGCAGCGACAUCCUUGGAGGCAGACGCACUCCAAAGUGGAUGACUCUACCAAAAUAUUUGGGAGAGAUGAUGAUAAGGAGGUGGUGGUGAAGUUGCUGUUGGACCAGCAAGAUCAGCAAAAAGUGCAGGUGUUCCCCAUCUUUGGGAUGGGAGGUCUUGGCAAGACGACUCUUGCUAAGAUGGUAUAUAAUGACCAAGAGGUCCACCGACAUUUCAAGUUAAAGAUGUGGCACUGUGUGUCAGAGAACUUUGAUGUCAUUGCUCUUGUCAAAUCCAUCAUUGAAUUGGCUGCAAAUGGAAGUUGUUACCAUCCUGGCAGCAUUGAACUACUGCAAAAGCAACUUGAGCAAGUCAUUGGCCGAACAAGGUUUAUGCUCGUGCUUGAUGAUGUGUGGAAUGAAGAUGAGAAUAAAUGGGAGGAUAUCCUGAAGCCUCUUUUGUGUUCUGUUGGUGGACCAGGAAGUGUAAUAGUUGUCACAACACGAAGCCAGAAAGUGGGCUCUAUAAUGCAGACCCUUCAACCCUAUAAGCUAGCAUGUCUGAGUGAACAAGAUUCAUGGGAAUUGUUUGCACAAAAAGCAUAUAGCAACGGUUUAGAGAAGGAGAAAGCAGAGUUGGUCAGCAUUGGGAGACGUAUUGUCAACAAAUGCAGGGGGCUACCUCUUGCUCUCAAGACAAUGGGUGGAUUGCUAGGUUCAUAUCAACAAGUACAAGAAUGGAAGGCCGUCGAAGAAAGUAAUAGUACGGAUAAUGUUAGAGGGAAAGAUGAGAUCAUAUCCAUCCUAAAGUUGAGCUACAGACACCUAUCAUCUGAAAUCAAACAAUGUUUUGCAUUCUUAGCAGUUUUCCCCAAGGAUUAUAAGAUGGACAAGGACACAUUGAUCCAACUAUGGAUGGCAAAUGGUUUUAUUCAAGAGAAGGGAACAAUUGAUUUGAAAACAAGAGGAGAAUUCAUUUUCAAUGAGUUGGUUUGGAGGUCCUUCCUCGAAGAUAAGCAGGAGCAAACACACAAUGAUGGUACAAGAAGUUAUGUGACUAUUAAUUGUAAAAUGCAUGAUUUAAUGCAUGAUCUAGCAAAAGAUUUCACAGAUGAAUGUGCAAGUAUAGAAGAACUGGCUCAGCAGAGAGCAUUGUUACAAGAUGUUUAUCACUUGCAAACCUCAGACGCUGAACUGGAACAAAUCAGUGGGUUAUGCAAAGGCAGAACAUACCUCCGCACUUUGUUAGCUUCUUCAGAAUCAUAUAUGGAUUUUAAUUAUAAUAAUUAUAAUUUUCUGAGCAAAUCACACAAGGAUAUUAAGGAGUUGCAACAGGUAUUGUCAUCACUAAGAGCAUUGCAUUGCUCCCCCACUGCAGCUGUCAUUUGCAAGGCCAUAAAUCCAAAACAUUUACGGUAUCUUGACCUCUUCGGGUCUGACAUCGUUAGGUUACCAGAUUCAAUAUGUAUGUUGUAUAACCUACAAACACUGAGGCUCAUAAAUUGCCAGGAGUUGCAGCAGUUACCAGAAAACAUGGCAAGAUUGAUAAAGCUCAUCCAUCUUUAUCUUUCUGGUUGUUAUAGUCUCAAAAGUAUGUCUCCAAACUUUGGUCUACUGAAGAACCUUCACAUAUUAACAACAUUUGUUGUGGGUACUGGAUAUGGCCUUGGGAUAGAACAGCUCAAAGGUUUGCAACACCUUAGCAAUAGAUUGGAACUAGUGAAUUUGAGCAACAUAAAGAGUGGGGAGAAUGCAAAAGAAGCCAAUCUCUGUCAAAAGGAAAAUCUAAGUGAGUUGUUGUUCUCUUGGGACCAACAAAUAGAUGAUGAGCCUACAGAUGUGGAAGAAAUGCUUCAGGGAUUAGAGCCUAACAGUAAUAUCCAAAAGUUGGAGAUACAUGGAUAUGGUGGCCUGGAAAUAUCACAGUGGAUGAGAAACCCUCAAAUGUUUAACUGCUUGAGAGAACUCAAAUUUUUUGACUGCCCAAAAUGCAAGAGUAUACCUGUAGUCUGGCUAUCGGUAUCUCUAGAGAUUUUGCUCUUAGAGAAGAUGGAUAGCCUGAUAACAUUAUUAUGUAAUAAUCUUGAUGUGGAAUCUGGAUUCAUUAGCCCUCUGCAAAUUUUCCCAUGGUUGAAGAGAAUGAUGUUGAUUGACCUACCAAGACUGCAGAUAUGGUCUGAAAAUAGUGUGGGGAUGCCUAGUGAUAGCUUGGUAACAUUCCCAAUGCUUGAAGAGCUAAAAAUAGAAAAUUGCCCUGAGUUUGCAAGUAUUUCAACGACCCUCACUGUCAGCUUUCUAGGAAUAAAGGGAGCUCAAGGACCUCUUGAAAAACUUAAGUGUUUGACUCUGAAAGGCCCCAACAGGUUGGUUACAAGCUUCAGAUUGUCCAUAUCACAGCUUAUGCUUUGGAAAUGCUUUCACUUCAUGGAAGAGCUGACGAUUGAUGGAUGCAGUGAUCUUGUCUGCUGGCCGAAUGAGCAACUGCGGCUCUUUGAUCGCCUGCGCGUCCUGUGUAUCAGAUAUUGUGACAAACUGGAUGGGUGGUCGCAUCAAAAGGGUACCCUUCCGCUGUCCUUGGAGAAAUUGGAUAUUUCAGACUGCAGAAGUCUAGCCAAGCUGCCUUCAAAGCUUGGGAAUCUAGCUAAGCUGAGGAGUCUCAAUGUGAGUGGGUGCAGUGGCCUGAAAGCGCUGUCUGAUGGGAUGGAUGGCCUCACUUCUCUUGGGGAAUUAAAGAUUACUGAGUCAGAUAUGAAGGGAUUCCCGCAUGGUCUCCUGGAGCGGUUGCCCGCCCUCGAACGCUUAAGCAUACUUUUUUGCCCAGAGUUGGCAAGACGAUGCAGAGAAGUGAUAACAGGUGAUGAAUCGAUGUACCUGCAGCUCGGGAGUUCUGAAAGCCUCCUCGACAGCCGUGCGCGGAGCGACCUGGAGGGGGCAACCACUGUCCUCCUCGGCAGGGUGCGGAGGGGGAAGGAAGGAAGCAAUGAUGGAAGGAAGGUUCCGCCGCGUGCACCCCGGCCUGGGGCAACUUCUGUUCUCCUCGCCAGAGCGCACGCCGAGGCGUGGAAGAGAUGGAGCCAGAUUUGCCUGCGCCGACGGAGACGAGAGGUGGUGGAGAAGGAGCAGAGAGGAUUAACGGGCUGGGCUGGGCUGGAUCAUUAUUUGCCUUGUUCCUUGCUUUAUAUUCUGUGUACGACAUCAGAAAUACUUCCAGUCCAUAUUUAUUUUCCGUUCUUUCUCUUUGCGGACGCUAGAAGUAAUAUUUCAUACUGUACAUGA
rnacentral:rRNA from 1 species